rnacentral:rRNA from 1 species
AUGAGCAGCGACGAGUUACUUCAAGCUCAGCUGGAGCUCUACCACCACGGCCUCGCCUUCGUCAAGUCACUAGCGCUCAAGGCCGCCACGGACCUGCGCAUCCCCGACGCCAUCCACCGCCGCGGCGGCGCCGCCACCUUGUCCGAGCUGGCCUCCGACACCGGGAUCCACCCCACGAAGCGCUCCAACCUCCGGCGGGUCAUCCGGGUGCUCACCACCACCGGGGUAUUCUCCAUUGUCCAAGGCAAAGGCAGCAACGACCACGCCGGUGAUGGCGCUGCGUAUUACAAGCUCACGCGGGUCUCCCGGCUCCUUGUCGAGAGAUCACCGCACAACCUGUCCCCGAUGGUGGGCACCAUCGUCAACACGUUAUGCUGGACCUCUCUCCUCAAAAUGCCCGAGUGGUUUACCCAAGGCCAAGAGGGAGAGUCGGCACAGUCGCACUCGCUCGUCCAGCUGGCCAACGGCUGCACGUUCUGGGACACCACCAAGGUCGAUGGUGGCUUGUUCAACGACGGCAUGGCCGUGGACAGCGGCAUCGCCAUGAAGGUCCUGUUGAAGGAGCACGGCGGAGCGUUCGGGGAAGUGAAAAGCUCGCUGGUGGACAUCGGCGGCAACCAUGGCGCCACCGCGUCGGCUGUGGCGAGAGCGUUCCCGCACCUCAAGUGCACCGUUCUGGACCUCCCACACGUCGUCGCCGCGGCUCCCGCCAGCGACAUUUUGACCUUCGUCGCCGGAAAUAUGUUCGACUAUGUCCCACCUGCGGAUGCUGUUCUACUCAAGUGA